rnacentral:rRNA from 12 species
AACUCGGAGAUAGCUGGUUCUCCUCGAAAUCUAUUUAGGUAGAGCGUCAAUCGAAUACUCCGGGGGGUAGAGCACUGGAUGGGUAAUGGGGCCCCACAGGCUUACUGAUCCUAACCAAACUCCGAAUACCCGGAAGUAAUAAUUGGCAGACACACUGCGGGUGCUAACGCCCGUAGUGAAAAGGGAAACAACCCUGACCUCCAGCUAAGGCCCCUAAUUCAUGGCUAAGUGGGAAAGCAGGUGAGACGACCAAAACAACCAGGAGGUUGGCUUAGAAGCAGCCACCCUUUAAAGAAAGCGUAAUAGCUC